rnacentral:rRNA from 1 species
AGAGUUUGAUCCUGGCUCAGGACGAACGCUGGCGGCGUGCCUAAUACAUGCAAGUCGAGCGAAUGUCAGGGAGCUUGCUCCCUGACAUUAGCGGCGGACGGGUGAGUAACACGUGGGCAACCUGCCUGUAAGACUGGGAUAACUUCGGGAAACCGGAGCUAAUACCGGAUACGUUCUUUUCUCGCAUGAGAAAAGAUGGAAAGACGGUUUUGGCUGUCACUUAUAGAUGGGCCCGCGGCGCAUUAGCUAGUUGGUGAGGUAACGGCUCACCAAGGCCACGAUGCGUAGCCGACCUGAGAGGACGAUCAGCCACACUGGGACUGAGACACGGCCCAGACUCCUACGGGAGGCAGCAGUGGGGAAUUUUCCGCAAUGGGCGAAAGCCUGACGGAGCAAGACCGCGUGGGGGAAGAAGGCUCUUGGGUUGUAAACCCCUUUUCUCUGGGAAGAAAGUUGUGAAAGCAACCUGACGGUACCAGAGGAAUCAGCAUCGGCUAACUCCGUGCCAGCAGCCGCGGUAAGACGGAGGAUGCAAGCGUUAUCCGGAAUGAUUGGGCGUAAAGCGUCCGCAGGUGGCAGUUCAAGUCCGCUGUCAAAGACCGGGGCUUAACUUCGGAAAGGCAGUGGAAACUGAACAGCUAGAGUAUGGUAGGGGCAGAGGGAAUUCCUGGUGUAGCGGUGAAAUGCGUAGAGAUCAGGAAGAACAUCGGUGGCGAAGGCGCUCUGCUGGACCAUAACUGACACUCAGGGACGAAAGCUAGGGGAGCGAAUGGGAUUAGAUACCCCCGUAGUCC